rnacentral:lncRNA from 1 species
UUUGAAUUAAAUUAAAUUAACUAAUAGAAAAGAAGAUAUGGUAUAAAUGCAAAUGAGACAACUCUCCACAAGAGAACAAAAUGACACACAAAUUAACAACUAUAGGUCACGGUACGGGAAUUCAACAAUGAGCAAAGACCAUACCGCAUAGUCAGCUAUAAAAGACACCGAAAUUACAAUGUAAAACAAUUCAACAUGUUCAAACGAGACAGGCACAA